GGGCUGGUGGCGCAAUGGUUAGCGCAUUGGUUUUCGGCUAGCAAGAAAAAAUCACCAAAGGUUAUGGGUUCGAGUCCCAUCUGGCUCG